rnacentral:sRNA from 1 species
GAUCCACAAAGCUGCCUCCCGGGCCAAGCCUGGAAGCUGGAGAGGAUGAUGAAGAAGACGACAAUGGACCUGAACAUAAGAGAUGCGAAGAAGAGGACUGCUCUACACUGGGCCUGUGCCAAUGGCCAUGCAGAAGUAGUAACACUUCUGGUAGAUAGAAAGUGCCAGCUUGACGUCCUUGAUGGUGAAAACAGGACAACUCUGACGAAGGCUCUGCAAUGCCAGAGGGAGGCUUGUGCAAAUAUUCUCAUAGAUUCUGGUGCUGAUCCAAAUAUUGUAGAUGUGUAUGGCAACACAGCUGUCCAUUAUGCUGUUAACAGUGAGAAUUUGUCAGUGGUGGCAAAAUUGCUGUCCUGUGGUGCAGACAUUGAAGUGAAGAACAAGGCUGGCCACACACCACUUUUAUUGGCCAUAAGGAAAAGAAGUGAGCAAAUUGUGGAAUUUUUACUGACAAAAAAUGCAAAUGCAAAUGCAGUUGAUAAGUUUAAAUGCACAGCCCUCAUGCUUGCCAUAUGUCAUGGAUCAUCAGAGAUAGUUGGCAUGGUUCUUCAGCAAAAUGUUGACAUCUGUGCUGAAGCUACAUGUGGAAUGAUUGCAGAACUUUAUGCUGUUGCUUGUGGAUUUAAUCUCUAAGUGUUUACAUUUAAAGGCUAGGUGAGAUUUUAUAGUUUGUUUC